AUGAGAGAAGAUCCGUGUUCCUCAUCACGUCAGUCGAGGAACACGGAUCAUAACUCACGU
rnacentral:pre_miRNA from 1 species